rnacentral:tRNA from 1 species
UGAAUGUAGUUUAACUAAAAUCCUAGUCUGUGACCCUAGUAAUGAAAAUUUACCAUUUUCUAUUCACC